CGUGAAAAUAUCAUUUUUCGAAGUAGUUCCCACAAAAUAAUUAAAAAAAAAGAAUAAUGUGGCUAGUGAGCUUUGAACCAAAACUUUAAAACCAUCAAAUAACACUCUUACUAUUGAACUACAAGUCUUUUAAUAUAUGAAAAAUGUAUCCAAUUUUUUUUAUGUAACAUUUUCAGAAUGAGCUUGAGGUACAUUUAAAAAACAAUUAAUGAUCCAGAAGGGGGUGAAGCCCCUCCUGGGUCUUAAUUGGGUCCGCCCAUGCCUACAAGUGUCGAUGUUUAUGAAAUUUGUCAAGGGGCAAGCAAUAUUUUUUGCAUACAUUGUUGCGACAAUGCAAACAAUAUAUGUUUGUUUGGAGACUUUCAUGUCUUCGGCAAAAGUUGUAGAAUUUUUCUUGUAGAAGAAAUUGGAGCCAAUCUGCCAUUGAUAGAUUCGCUGCAUGAAAACAUGAUUAAAAAAUACAAUUUUAUUAAUUAUAAAAAUAACCAAAAAAGCCGGAGUUCUUAUAGUAUGACAAAAAGAUCACUAAAUUCUGUUUAUUUUUUAAAAAGGUUAUACGGAUCCUUUCAUAAAUACAUAGGUUAUUUUUUCUAUUAAAAAAUGAUCACAUACACUCAAAUAUUUUGUUCAAAAGUAGGGGUGUCAAAAAAGCCCAGCCCAGGCCUGCGGGCUUAGGCCUGGCCCUCACACAUGAGUGCCUGGACAAGGGCCCAAGAAAAAAAAGCUCGGAAAAAGCCCAGGCCCACUAUGUUUUUUAAAAAAUAAUUUUAUAAAUUAGAAUAAUAUAAUUAAAAUUGAAAAGUAAUUUAAAAAUAAAAAAGAAAACUUAAAUUCUUAACUUAUAAAUCAAUUAUGAUUCAAAAAAGCUAAAAUUAUGAUACUAAAUUCUCUCUUUUGUGUCAAUUAAUUAAGAUAGCAUUUAAAUUAGAAAAUUCAGUAUUAAAGAUAAUUAAAGUUAUGAGCUUUUAUUUAAUUUAUUUAUUAUUUUAAUCUGAAAUAUUCAUUUUCUUUAAUUUAUCUAUGAUUGUAAUAACUCGUUGAUCAUUAAUUUAUUUUAAAUUUAUAAUAAUUUAAAAAAUUUAAAAUAAAUAAAUAAAGUCCAAGUCCGACCCAGGCCCGCACGCUUAACUGACAGUGGACCUGAAUCUGGGCUUGAAAAAACCCGGCUCAAGCCCGCUGUUUGCCAUCCCUAUUCAAAAGAGAGGUCAGUGUAACCAUUUAUGAAAACAACGAAAUUUCAAACUAGAGGAUGUUGUAGUUAUUUUUUGUAACAAAAAAAAAAAAAUUAAGAAACAAGAAGGCAAAAAGAAAUAACGAACCAUCUUGAUGUUGGAGAGAUCUAGUAUAUUUUCGAGGGAGAGGAGUAAGGAGAAUGACACAAGAGGGACAAAGAGAACUUGAGCUAUUUAAUUACGGGUCAGGCUACAGUACAACUGUGGUACCGUGCCACAAUUACACCAGCCGUUAGAUCCACUCAAAUGAGUGGGGUCCACUUGAAUAAGUGGGAAUCUAAUAGUUGGGUGCAACUAUGGUACGGUACCACAGUUGCACCACAAUUUUAUCCUUUAAUUACAGAUGAGCGUCUCGUAUUGGUAUCCCAAAAUUGUCAAAUUAAUGCAGUGGGAUUCUGUUAGGUGUGCACACAUAUUAAUGAUUAUUGUUAAUAUAUUUUAUGAGACCUCAUAAAAUUUCAAGAUAUUUGUAUUACAUUUAAUUAAUUAGUAUAAUACAAUUUAAUUUUGGGAAUGAGAUCACUAUUCACAGCUGUAAUUGAAAAAAUAAAUAAACAUUAUUUAAUUGAAAUUCAAUAUGAUUUGGAAUGUUGAAUUCUCCUGAAACGGCAAAGCCUGAAAGCUCGUACCUCAUAAGUUGGUGUGGGACUUUUCUUUAUUAUCUAUUUAUUUAUUUCACUGUCUUGGAAAUUUGGUUCAGCUAAACCUGCAAUUAACAAUCCAAGUACGAGAGCGCAAGUCUGUGAUUGGUUCUUCCCUCACGCCCAGAACUCGUAGCCUUAACUAUUGGCUAUUUUGUGAUUGGAACCAUUUACAACGUCAAAUAAAAUAAGUUCCAUGCGUAGAACGAAAUUUCAAGCAAACGAAGGGCUAACUAAAAUUUUACGAAAUAAAAUAAAAUAAAAUUAUGAGAUCUAAACUAAGAGAUGAAAAAAGGAGAAAUAAAAAGAAAAAAUAAUAAAUGAGAAAAGAAAAUAACAAAUAAACCUGUUUCCGGCAACAACGUCAAAAACUUAAAUAAAUACACCUUUUCAGCAAUAGUACCAAAAACUUGAUAUGACUUAAAAGUAUUAAUUAUUCUUAGGUAUAAAAGUUUCUUGUUAUAAUACAAUCCAGUGAGUUCAGAAUCGAUACACGGGGAAAAUAUUUAAUUUGUAAUUUCUUUUAAAUUAUCUAAGAACUAAAAAUAAAAUUUAAAUAAAUGCUAUUUAAAUUAAGUAAAACUAUAAAAAUAAAUUAGUUAAGGCUAUCAUCACUGAUGUUUACCCUGGGUCAAACCGCGAAACUAAUGCAAACGACGCUGUUUCAUGAAUUUAUUUAUUUUUUGUUUUAAUCGGCAUCAAAACUAUGCCGUUUGCUGUGUUUCUCAUCUCUGUAUCAUUUAUUUCACACAAGUCUUGGAAACUGAAAUCGAUUUCGCAUUCACCAAGAUACCAAUUCCGUGCAUAUCAGAUUCUACAAUUUGAGAGGAAAAUCUACUUUAAGAACAUAGAAGAAGUUCGCACAAGCCUUUCCAAACAAUUACGCCAAGAUAAUGAACCUAUUAGUGCCCUGCCUAGAAGAUAACGCCUAGUCAACAAUCAAAGAUACCAGGACAACCAAAUGAAAUGGACUAAAAUUAACCCAAGAACCAUCAACUAAUCGGAAUCUUGCAUCAAUUUAAUUCGCCAAGUACUUCCCGGUCACUUAAGCCAACAAGAAAUUAGGCUAAGCCUUCAAGAAACAAAGCCGCUUGAAUGAACACUCAAGGCACCAAAAAUUUCAGCAAUCACACUCUUCACCAUAUCAUCCAUCUCCUCUUUCAUUGCCUCCCCAAUAACCCCUUUGAAUCCCUCAUCACUCUUUCCCUCAAAAGCCACCCAAUCCUCUGCUAUCCUUACUUUGCACCGUCUUGAUUCUACCAAUCAAUGCUGGCACCAUCAACCUUAACCCACCUUCAAUUUGCUUAAUUCGUGGCAUUAAAUUCUUGGACACAUUACUCCAUGCCAUGAAAGAGGAAUGAGAUUUCAAGACUAUUGCGCCAAGACGGGAAGAGAAGCUCGAGUAGUUUUCUUGGGUGGCCACAUUGUCUAAUGCGUAGUAAUAGGAAAGAAAAUGGCUAAUGAGGAGGUUGACGUGAGAGUAGAGGAGGGUUUGCGAUGAAGAAACAGAUUUGUGAAUGAGAGAGAGGGAGGAGGUUUUUUGUAGAGUGUUGCACCUGUUUGUGUAGUAAUCUUUGAAGGCAAGUGUUUGCGAUUUCUUGCGAGAGAAAAGAGAAGCAAAUGAUCUUGGCAUCUUUGAAGAAGAUGAUGAUUUGAGCUUGAUGUGAGCAAAUUCGUUGUUUCUUCUUAAGCAGUCAAAGAAAAGGAGACAUGAAAGGGGAAAGGGAAAGACGAGAAACGAAGAAGUGAAGGGAAAUAUUUGGCAAGCAAAAUGCGCCAUUUUUGGCUUUAGUUUUGAAACGGUGCGUUUUGAGUUUUCGGGGUUUGACCCAGGGCAACUAUCAUUUUCCUAAGGCUGAUGAUUAAUUUAAUUUAUAGAAUUAAAAUGGAAUUUGAUUAAAUCAUUUUUUUGUACUAAGGGUUAUAAUUGAAAUAAAAAUAAUUGUUGAAAUUAAAUUACACAUAAUUAAAAUUAAAAUAACUAAAAUUAAAAAUAACACCAAAUUUAUUCAUGAAUUAAAAUUCAAACUUCUAAAAUAAAUUAUAAGAAAAUUAAAUACAAACGAAAAGAAAAAUUUUUUAGAAACUAAGUCUUCCGUUUCUCACCCCUCUAGUGCAUACUACCUCCCGCACCUUCCUUUAAUUCUCCUCUCCUUUCCUAACUAUUAAAUUCGUAAUUACAAAAAUAAAAAAAAAUACAAAACACGUUAAACUAAAAACUGCAAGUCCGUAGUUGACAGCACGCGCCCACGCCUUAUCAACAAAGUUUUUCUGACGCUCAUAAUUUCUCCAAGAGAACUAUCAUCCUUAAAAAUCAUCUUGUAGCUCAAAUUUAUCACCAAUCAAUAUAAUUGCACCUACAAAAGUAAAACACAAGUAAAUCACUAUUAUUAAGUGCAAAACAUCGAUAUUAAGGGAAGUAAACAAUGCAAAACUAGUGCAUAAAUUGCACUCUAACAUUUAUUCAUGAAUUAAAAUUCAAACUUCUAAAAUAAAUUAUAAGAAAAUUAAAUACAGACGAAAAGAAAUUUUUUUUUGGAAACUAAGUCUUCCGUUUCUCACCCCUCUAGUGCAUACUACCUCCCGCACCUUCCUUUAAUUCUCCUCUCCUUUCCUAACUUUUUUUUUUCUUAUUUGUUUCUAGUGUCCUGGCCUCAUCGCUCCCAUUUCCUUUUAUAGGAAAAGAAAGACUCAUCCUCCUUUUUAUUUUAUUAUUAUUUAAUUUUUUUAUUUUUUAACAUUGCAAAAGAUAAGCAAGUGGCAGGUGGCUGCUACUACUGAUUUUGGCAAAGUGGCUCCACAUUUUUUUUUAAAAUUUUAUUAUUAUUUUUUUAAAUUAAUACAAUCCAACCUCUUUGUCUCCUGCAUUUGGUUUUAAUUCCUCCUUUAUUCUUGAAAUAUAUCUAUAAUAUAGAAAUGAGGUAAAAUUAACGUAAUGCAAUUUAAUUUAACAUAAAAUUAUAUUAGGGAAGUAUUAAGCUAAUUUAUAGGUUAUGAGUGCAUUAAUAAACACUAUAAGUGAAAAAAUAAAAAUUUUAACCUUUAUUGAAUGUAUACUUUCUAGAGUUAAUCAAACAGCAACAUCACAACUUCACCCUUUUCAAUCUUUAUUCUUGAAUUUCCUCUCAGGGCAGUCUUUCUUAAAUUGUCCUUUAUGGCAUUGGGAAUAUUUCAAGUUCUUUGGCUUUGAUUUAGACCUUUUUUUUCUUACUUGUUGAACUUUUUUUUUUUUUUCUAAUCUUCUCCUUGCAACCGGACUCUCUGGUUCUUUCACUUCUUUUUGUAUGACUUGCUUUGAAUUCAUAGUCUCUUUUACAUUUGCCAUUGCGAGUGUUUGUCUUCCAUACAUCAAUGUAUCGACCAGAUGCUCAUAUGAGCUCGGUAGAGAGCACAACAUAAUCAUGACUUUAUCUUCAUCAACAAUUUUACAUUUAUGUCUUUAAGAUCUAGGAUGAUCUUGUUAAAGGCAUCAAUAUGAUCUGAAAUUGAUGAUCUUCCUCCAUUUGUAGAGUAUAUAGUUUUUUUCUUGGUCUCAAGCCUCUUUGUCAUGAUUUGUUGGUUUAUGUGUCUUCAAGUUUCUUCCACCACCCUGAAAUACAAGUAUGCAACCCAAGAGGGGGGGGGGGGAAUGAAUUGGGAUUCUAAAAAAAUUAUUCAAUUUAUAAAGAAAAACUUAAUGCAAAUAUAAUCCAAAUUCAAAGCAAUAACAAUUAAGUUGAUCACAAUAUAAAAAGAUAAGGGAAGAGAGAUUCAAACACAGAGUUUUUUACGUGGUUCGGCCAACCUCGCCUACGUCCACGCCUCAAAGCUUUCCGGGCUUGAGGAUUCCACUAAGCAAGCCUCCAAGGCUUCAAAUGCUUACACUUGACUUCCAAGGUGUCAAUAAACCUUUACAACAAGAGAUUAUCCCUAAUCUCUUAACCUAAGUGUAUCCCAACACUUACAAUCACUCAAAGUAAAAGAUUACAAACUAUUUUGCCUCUCACAAUAUAUAAGAUUACACAAUGAUGCUUAAUAUGUGAAUAGAUGAAGCAAGAAUGUGUUCUAAGCUCUAUGAAGAUUGUAUUCUCGAAUAUUAGCUCAAUGGUCGUGUUGUGAUCAACCUUGUUUGAAUUUGAAUGAGCUUAUUUAUAGUUGGAGCUUAAAAAUUAGCCGUUACAAACUGUCAGUCCGAAAACGGUUCGCCGUUAACCAUUAACGGUUAACUAUUUACGCUGGUCAAAAGUUACCGUUGGGCCAAAUUUCAAAUAAAUGGUUUGUUGUUUAGGAUUAAUCUUUCGUCGUUAAUUUCCAGGGAUCUGCAAGAUGAACAUCAGUUAUCCGUUUACACUAAACGGUUAAGGAUUUGUAAGAAGUGACUUCUCUGGAUGUUAUCGGUUAACCGUUUGUAAUAAACGGUUAACCGUUUGUCUCCAGUAACCUGCAAAACAAUUCAGCCUUAACCAGUUUUGUUAAUCAGUGAUUCUGGAUGUUAUCGGUUAACCGUUUAGAUAAACGGUUUACCGUUAAGUUCCAGUGGCCUUCCCAUCUUUUGUGUUUUCCGUUUUUCAUAAACGGUUAGAGCUUUAGGCAUUAUGUUGCUCUCUGGAUGUUAAUCGGUUAACCGUUUAGAGGAAAACGGUUUACCGUUUAUUUCCAGAAUCACAUUUUAAACCAGUUUUUGCAAAGAAACUUUUUCUAAUAUGAAAGUCCAUCUUUUAUGAAUCUUUUUCGUUUAUUAAGGAAUAGCUCCAACAUUUUUAUCAAAAACCAUUUAAAGUUUGUUAUCAUCAAAAUCAAUAUUAUUAACAUAUUCAUGUUAACACACCCAACUGCUUUCUUUCUCCACCAACUUCUCUCAAAACAUUAUCACCAAGACUCAAAAUAAUGGCACUAUGUGCCCUAUAUAUCAUGAAUAUUAGGUAGAUUAUCAUCAAAUACUUUUCUUAUUUUUCUUGGAUCUAGAUGAUUCUCUAAGAGCCUCUGCCAGUCCUUGAUGUACUAAAAGUGGACCAUCUUGAGCCUCCAGAGAUAAAAGUCAUUUUCCUUGUAAACUUAUCCACUUUUAAUUUGAAAUUGACGUCUUAAUAAUGCAAAACUUAAUAAAGAAGCUCCGAUACCAAUUUGUUAUGGUUGAACCAACAAAGUGCUGACUUCAAGAGUCACCCCCAAGAUCCAAUCUCAAGCUUAACAUCCUUAAAUUAAGUAUCUAAUUAUUUUGUCAAAGUGUCUAGCUUCUGUCACAAACCCAACAAGAAUUAAGCACAAGAGAGCAAUUAGAAUCAAAGAAAGAACACAAGGAAUUAUAGUGGUUUGACUUUGAGUAGUCUACAUCCACUGUGAAGACCAAAUAGAGAUUUCACUAUUAUUUGAAUAUUCAAAAUACAAGAUUGAACAAAAUGUAAUUGAACAACAUGAGCCUAAAAACGAAGCUUGAGAGCUUUUAUACAUAGAAAGAAUCAUCUAGAAUUCACCCCCAACCGCCAGCUCAAGUAUGGUUAUGAGUUUGUUACAAAACCCAGAAAGUUCCCGCUGAUAACAACCUCUUAAAUAGCUGUAAGACAUGGGCAAAACUUUCAUUCAAUCUGACCUUCAAAAUGAUAAUACUAGCAGUUGUAACAAGUAAGUAACUCACGUGUUGAGGAGAUUUGCUCGAGGUUAAAAGAAUCACCUCUCAGUCUAGUUGAUAACUAAAAUUACUUCAUAAUCAAGUUGGUAUGAUCGAUGAUGAGCAUAAUUUAUAUACGUAUUUUACCUUUAAUUAUAUAAUUAUUAGUUAUUUUUAAUUAAUUGAAUUAUUUUAUUGCAUAGGGAAUUAAUUGGAGAUUGGGAAAUAAAAAGUGCAUAAAGAAUAACAAGUUUGGGAAAGCAUCAAUCAAAGCCGUGACACAAUUAAAAGUUUAUAACAUAUGAAACCAAGAGUAAUUUGCACUUAAAAAGAAUUUCAAUUAUUCAAGUGACCUGGACGUGCAUGGCAUUAUAAUGCAUGGAAAGCAACUUAAAGGGGCCCACACUUGGCUUUUACAAUUGGAAAAAGGAAUCCUAGUGCAAGCUUAAUUGGUGAUCACGUGUGAGAGCUAAAGCAAAUAAAAGGGCAAGCCUUUUGGCUUUAGGAUUUAAGAGGUGGGGCCCAUUUCAAAGAUUAUAAAAGUAAGCUUUUGGCUUUUGGAGAAGGGGAGCCGCGAGAGGAAAAAGAGAGCUGCAGACGCAAGGAUUCGGCACAGAAGAAGAGUAGCGAGAGCAGCAAUAUUUCGGCUUCCCAUGGCUGAAUUUAUUUAUUUUGUUGCUCCCAAUUCAAGUAUGUCUAGCUAAUUUUCUUAUACUGAGGUUAAUGAUGAAACUCUAUUCAAUGAAAUAAUUAUCUUUUUAUUUAUUUAAUUCCCUAUAUAUGUUCUUUGAUGAUUAUGAUUUUUAUUUCACAUGAUUAAUUGGAUGUUAGUAAAAUCUUUUCAUCAAUUCUGUCAUGCAUUAUUGAUUGUUAGGAUUAAUAUUCGAUUAAAUAUAUGCUUGGAUCUAUAAAGUUUAUACAUGAUUAUCUUUGAUUUUAUGUCUUUCAUUAAAUUGUUUACUUAGAGUGCUUAAGAAAAUUUUGACUCUUUGUUAUUCAAUAUGUUUAUAUGGGAUGCUUAGAUGUCAUACUAUUAAGUAGAAAAAGAACCUACAUUAGAUUUAAUUACUUGGGCUUAAUUGUUAUAUUUAUGAGAUGACAUAGAUUGAUUUCGAGUUGUCACUCUAAAAUUGGGGAUUAAUUAAUAAUUAGAUAAUUACUAUUUGCAUAGUGGUGGAUUCUGAAACCUUGGUAAUUCUUAUCUUAUCGAAUUCUCCUUUAUUUUAAUUGCUUCCUUAGUUUAAUUAGUUUGAUUUCUCUUAAAACUCAAUUUGGUCAACUAGGUUAGGAUUAAUAUUAAUUUUGGAUUUAAAUUAGACUUUUCAAUUUAUAACAAUCCAUGUGGGAUCGACCUGGUUACCAUUAUUCUAUUUCUAGAUUCGUGCGCUUGCGAGUAUAUUAAAAUUUUCACAACAAGUUUUUGGCGCCGUUGCCGGGGAUUGUGCUAGAAAGUCAGUUUAAUCUAGGUUGAUUUGAUUCUUCCACUAGUUAUAAUUUAGGUUGUCUUUUAUUUUUUAAUUAAAAAAACUUUUAUUUGUCUUUAAAUUCAUUGUUUGGUUGUUUGAUUUCUUUUAUUUUUAAAUUUCGUUUAUUCUCAUUUUUUGGUUUAUUUUAUUUUAUUUUUCUUUCUUUCCUUGUCUAGUUAGUUUAUGAGUGUUUGGGAACGUGAUUCAACAAAUCGUUUGGUUAAAAGAGAGUCGAAAAUUGAUAGUAGUUAAGCUAGUUCUUCUCAAGUCAUGGAUGACCCAAAUAGAUUAUUGUCAAUACUACCACCAGUGCAAGUAGAGAAAACCCUUAGAGAAUACUUUUCACCACUUGCAGCUAACCAACCAUCUUGUAUUGUGUUGCCACAAACUACAACAACACACUUUGAGCUUAAGCCCUCAGUCAUUCAACUUUUACCAUCUUUCCAUGGGUUAGAGAGAGAGGAUCCAUAUUUGCACAUUAAGGAAUUUCUUGACAUAUGCUCUACAUUCCGUUUUCAAAAUUUUAAUGAUGAGUCAAUUAGGCUUUGUAUGUUCCCUUUCUCAUUAAAAGACAAAGUGAAAGCUUGGUUGAAUUCGCUUCCUACUGGGUCUAUAACUACAUGGGAUGAAUUGAGUAAUAAGUUUCUCUCCAAGUUUUUCCCUAUGUCUAAAACAAAUGCCCCUAGGAGAGAGAAAAGUGAUUUUUAUCAAAGAGAGGGUGAGCAAUUUUAUGAGUGUUGGGAAAUAUUUAAUGAUUCACUCUUUAAGUGCCCCCACCAUGGUUUUGAGAAAUGGAGACUUAUACAAUGCUUUUAUAACGAUUUAACCAUGUCGAAUCGUCAUAUGGUAGAGUCUAUGAAUGGUGGGAGAUUUUUUAAUCUACAUAAAGGGGCUACAUGGGAUUUCUUUAAUUCACUUUCUGAAAAUUCUCAACAGUGGGAUUUUUCAAAUCAAAGGGAAAAAUUAUCUCAAGUUUCUAGAAAGGGUCUAUACGAAGUUAAAGAUGACUUUGAUGUGAAAGCCACUCUAACUACACUUUCUAGGAAAGUAGAUGCCUUAGCUCUGAACCAAUCCAUGAAUCAUCAUCCUAGUGUAGCUAAUGAGGUUUGUGCUAUUUGUUUUAACUUGUCUCAUACAACACAGAAUUGUCCAUCAUUACCAGUCUAUUAAAAGGCUUAUUCUGAGCAGGUAUAUGCCUUACAUUCAUAUGAGAAAACCUCUAAUAGUCCAUAUUCAUCCACAUAUAAUCAUAAUUGGAGGAAUCACCCUAAUUUUUCUUGGAAACAAAAUCAACCUUUGUCAAAUCAAGGAGGGCAAUAAUUUAACAUGCCCAAUCAACAAUUUGUCCCUUCUAACCAAGUAUAUCCUCCUGCCCAACAACCUAUGUCUCAAUUUGUUGCACCCCAACAAAGAAAGUCUUCUUUAGAGGAUACACUUCAAAGUUUCAUUCAGUCAACCCAACAAUCUUUUCAGUCAAAUACUCAAGCUAUUCCGAAGCUUGAACAUCAAUUGGGUCAAUUACCAACUACUGUAGCGGAGAGAGAAAAAGGAAAAUUCCCAAGUCAACCAAUUCCCAAUCCUAAAGGAGUGCAUGAAGUUGAAUUGAGUUCAAGCCAUCAGCAUGAAGAAGCAAAAUCUGUUAUGACCUUAAGAAGAGGAAAGUUAUUUGACAACAAGGUGGAGGUUCAAACAAGGAAGAUAUCUAAGCCUGCUUCUUCAGAUCUAGUUCCAUCACAUGAGUCAUCAACAAAUGAUCCAGAAGAGAGUGGCCCACCAGCUUACAUUCCCAAGGCUCAUUUUCCUCAAAGGUUAGCAAAGGUAAAGAAAAGGACUUCAACAGGUGAGAUUAUGGAAAUCUUCAAGCAGGUAAGUAUAAACAUCCCUUUACUCGAUGCUAUUAAGCAAGUUCCUUCCUAUGCCAAGUUUUUGAAAGAUUUAUGCACUAAAAAGAGAAAUUUGCAUGUCACUAAAAAGACGUUUUUAACUGAACGAACUAGCAAUUUACUUCAAUGUAAAAUGCCACCAAAAUUUAAGGAUCCUGGUUCUCCUACUAUCUCAUGUGUUAUAGGGAACUAAUGUUUUGAUAAAGCAUUAUUGGAUUUAGGUGCUAGUAUUAAUCUCUUGCCUUAUUCUGUUUACAUGCAACUUGGACUAGGUGAGUUACAGCCAACUUCCAUUGUAUUGCAACUUGCUGAUAGGUCAAUAUAAAUACCUCGUGGUAUUAUAGAGGAUGUGUUGAUACAAAUUGACAAAUUUUAUUAUCCUAUUGAUUUUAUUGUUAUUGAUACUCAGCAUGUACAAGAUCCUAAGAAACACACCCUAGUUAUUCUAGGUCGUCCCUUCUUAGCUACAGCUGAUGCUCAUAUUAGUUGCAGGACUGGAAACAUGCAAUUGUCUUUUGGUAACAUGACCAUGGAAUUAAACAUUUUUAAUGUUCCCAAGCAUACACAAGAAGAUGAUGAAGUCAUUGAAGUAGAUAUGAUAGAAGCAUCAAUUGAUGACCCACUUAUUUCUAACCACUGUGACACUCCAUCAAUACCAUGCACAACUGACUCUGAUUUCUCUGUUGAUGUUGAUAGUGGUAUUGAAAAAGUUAAUACUUUACUUGAUUCGACUCUUAUCAUAGAUUUAAUUAAGUGGAAAGAAAAGAUUGAGCCACUUCCUCAUGAAGAGAAAAUUGAACCAUUCAAGUUAGAGCUACUUUCUAAAAAAGUGCAACAUAGGUCACAUUCUGACAUGAAAAAUGUGGUAAGAUCUAAAGUGCUUAAAUUAUUAGAUUUUUCUACUACUUCAUAUAACUCUCAGGAAUGCUUAGAACAAAAGAGAUCAAAGCAGUGCGAUAUUGAGGAGUUUCAUUAACAUCAUCCUUUUAUAGAUAAAAUGCUUCAGUGCUUAAUCAAUUAUGUUUUCUGGUAUUUUCUGUAUAAUUGCUUUGAUUUUCACCAAAUUCUUAUUGAUCCUGGUUGAUUUGUUGUUUGCAUUAAUUAGUUAGUUUAGUAUAGGAUUUUAUUUAUUUUGGUUUUUUUAUUAUUUAUAUUUUUUCUAACAUUUUCUUUUUAGUUGUCAUUUUCUUUUAAGCUUUCCCAACCCAUCCAGGUGUGUCUCUCCAACUUUCAUUUUUAUUAUUUAUAUAUAUAUUUUUUUCUUUCAUUUGUUUGCAUGCUUAUCUUUUGUUUGUGAAACAUUAAGGACAAUGUUCCAAAUAAGUUUGGAGGUGGGAAUAAUGUGUGCUUUGUUUGUUAUUAAAAAAAACCAAAAAAAUUCAAAAAAAAUUCAAAAAUUCAAAAAAAAAUUGUGUUUUUUGUUUUUAUGUGAAAAGCCAAUGAUAAGAAUUUGAUUGACAAUGAAUAUGGUUUUUAGAAAGGGUUGAAUAUUGUCUUAGUUUAUACUUGAUUCUUGUGUUAGUUCCUCUUGAUUGAGAUUCUUUAAACCAUGAGCACUAAUAUCAGUUCUUUCAUGAUUUUGACUUGAAAUUUGAGAUUGAUGUAGCCUGAGUUGAGAAUUUUAGAUAGAGUAAAUGACUGUUUGUCUUGAUUCUUAUCUCCACAAUACAAAAUAGUAUACACAGGCGCCAGAGUUAGAAAUAACUACCUAUAACCCUUAAGAGUGAAGCUAUCCUUGAGUAAUUUGGGCCUAUGUACCACAAGUAUGUAGAGGAUAAUCUACCAUGAGAAGAAGACUACCUUAAGGGGUAGAGUGAAAGCUCCUGACUAUGGUUACAAAAAAAAGGAAAAAGAGGAGAAAAAGAAAAAAAAAUCAAGUGCAUGUGCUAAAAAAAAAUCAAAAGAAAAUGCACAUAAAAGCCUGUGAGAGGAAAAAAUUGGAGAUCAAGAUGAUAAGAUUAGUUUGACCUACUCUUUUCUUUGUUUGAGGCGAAGGUUGUUGAUAUUGAAGAUUUUAGGAAUGAAUUUGAUUGAAUUGAUUUCACACACACACACUAACUACAAGAAUCGAAAGAGAGAUGAAAUUGAUUAUUGAAUUAAAGUUAGAACUUUGCCAAUAUUUGAAAUUUUCUUUGAGCUAUAUAAUUUAUGCAAUCUUUGAGGCUAUUUUCAUAUUUUAUUUAAAGUUUUUUUCUUUUUAUUUUAUUUUAUUUUAUUAUUUUUUUAAAAAAUGAUGUUUGUGGGUAUCAUCACUGAAGCCCUCACGAGACUAUAACUCGUCCACUAGGGCCGCUUAGGGGUUUAAAGGCUUGUUGCAUACGCUAAAUGCAAUCGCGAUUACCUGCGAAAGUGGUUUAGUUAGGAUUUACUUUUUGUUUUGUUAUUUUUAUUUUUGUUUUUAGUUUUAGCUUUGCUCGAGGACUAGCAAAAUCUAAGUUUAGGGGUAUUUGAUGAGCAUAAUUUAUAUACGUAUUUUACCUUUAAUUAUAUAAUUAUUAGUUAUUUUUAAUUAAUUGAAUUAUUUUAUUGCAUAGGGAAUUAAUUGGAGAUUGGGAAAUAAAAAGUGCAUAAAAAAUAACAAGUUUAGAAAAGCAUCAAUUAAAGCCGUGACACAAUUAAGAGUUUAUAGCAUAUGAAACCAAAAGUAAUUUGCACUUAAAAAGAAUUUCAAUUAUUCAAGUGACCUGGACGUGCAUGGCAUUGUAAUGCAUGGAAAACAACUUAAAGGGGCCCACACUUGGCUUUUACAAUUGGAAAAAGGAAUCAUAGUGCAAGCUUAAUUGUUGAUGAGAGCUAAAGUAAAUAAAAGGGCAAGCCUUUUGACUUUAGGAUUUAAGAGGUGGGGCCCAUUUCAAAGAUUAUAAAAGUAAGCUUUUGGCUUUUGGCUUUUGGCUUUUGGCUUUUGGAGAAGGGGAGCCGCGAGAGGAAGAAGAGAGUUGCAGACGCAAGGAUUCGGCACAGAAGAAGAAUAGCGAGAGCAGCAAUAUUUCGGCUUCCCAUGGCUGAAUUUAUUUAUUUUGUUGCUCCCAAUUUAAGUAUGUCUAGCUAAUUUUCUUAUAUUGAGGUUAAGGAUGAAACCCUAUUCAAUGAAAUAAUUAUCUUUUUAUUUAUUUAAUUCCCUAUAUAUGUUCUUUGAUGAUUAUGGUUUUUAUUUCACAUGAUUAAUUGGAUGUUAGUAAAAUCUUUUCAUCAAUUCUGUCAUGCAUUAUUGAUUGUUAGGAUUAAUAUUCGAUUAAAUAUAUGCUUGGAUCUAUAAAGUUUAUACAUGAUUAUCUUUGAUUUUAUGUCUUUCAUUAAAUUGUUUACUUAGAGUGCUUAAGAAAAUUUUGACUCUUUGUUAUUCAAUAUGUUUACAUGGGAUGCUUAGAUGUCAUACUAUUAAGUAGAAAAAGAACCUACAUUAGAUUUAAUUACUUGGGCUUAAUUAUUAUAUUUAUGAGAUGACAUAGAUUGAUUUCGAGUUGUUACUCUAAAAUUAGGGAUUAAUUAAUAAUUAGAUAAUUACUAGUUGCAUAGUUGUGGAUUCUGAAACUUUAGUAAUUCUUAUCUUAUUGAAUUCUCCUUUAUUUUAAUUGCUUCCUUAGUUUAAUUAGUUUGAUUUCUCUUAAAACUCAAUUUGGUCAACUAUGUUAAGAUUAAUAUUAAUUUUGGAUUUAAAUUAGACUUUUCAAUUUAUAACAAUCCCUGUGGGAUCGACCUCGUUACCAUUAUUCUAUUUCUAGAUUCGUGCGCCUGCAAGUAAAUUAAAAUUUUAACAACAAUCGAGGUCACCGAAUUACCUCUUAAUCGAGGUAAUCUGCUUGAGAUCAUUGAAUAACCUCCAAACACCUCCACUUAACUUCUCCUAGAAGUUUAUUUGCUCUUUGUUGAGGGGAGCAGCAUGUGCAUCACUUAUUGCAAAUGUCAUUCAUCUCCCAGAGGCUCUAGAACCGACAUGUCAUAUACAUUCUGAAUAUAUAGACGACAUAUCAAGCGCGAUCAGAAACUUAGAUUUAAGCUUCAUCCUUCAAUAAUUUCUAUCAGUAAACAAGUCAUCUUUAAGACGUAAAGACCCGGCAGAAGGGGCCUGCCGUUUCUGGCUUUCUUGUAAAGCUUCCAGCUCCUAAUAAUAUGAAUAAAAUCAGAUAAAGAGAGUUAUUGUUACAAAUAAUAAGAAUAAGAAAAAUCAAAGUCAGAGAUGAAAGCCUUACCUCAUCGCUUACCUCAUCAAUGGCAAACUCAACAAUAUUUUCUCCAGCAAAGCAAUCUGCAGAUUAUAGAACACUUAGAUAGAAGUUUAUAUACAAUUUUUUAUUUUGAUAAAAGACUAUAAAGACAUCAUGCAAACUUCAUAUCUGUUAGGACACAUACAGUUGGAAUCCAUAAUGGCCUAAAUACAACCGAAUAAAAAAAAAAACUGAAGACAUAAUUCCUUUCUGAGAACAUAUAUCGUAAGGAAGAAGAUUAGAUAUAAAAUGGCUGUAAGAAAUAUUAACCAUUAAUUUGAAUCUAGACUAAAUUAAAACAUUAAAAUUAAAUGUCAUGAUAUCUUUCACGAAAAUACAAAGUAUAUACAAAUCCAAAAGUUUGUAUUUUAAAGUUCAGUGUAAUUUAUUCUCAACAUAAUUUAUAUUAUAAAGUUCAGCAUGAAUCCGAAAGUUUCAAAUGCAUCUUUAUCAAUUGAUAGCCUGCAAUAGAAGCAAUAAUAUAGUAAAAUGUACAGGAUAAAUUAACACCAUAUUUACGUAUAGGAUGAGUUUGGUUGAAGGAUCAAAAUGUGGGAAUGGAAUAUUCUUUUAAACUUCAUCCAAAUCCCUUAUUGAUGCUCUCAAAGAGUAUUGGGAUUAUCUUAUCCUGAGCCCACAAGAUAAUCCCAACUUUAUGAAGAAAGUUAUCUCAUGGGUGGCGAUAGGACUGGUUGGGAAUAAUUUUAAAAAGCAAUUAUUUAUACUUAAUAAUUUCUCAAUAUUAAAAUUAUAUAAAUAUGUACUAAGCAUAAUACAAGUUUUAUAAUAAUAGAAUAUUAUAAAUAAAAAAUAAAACAAAAAAGUUAUUUAUUUAUCAUGAAAAUAAAAUAUUAAAAAGUAAUUAUAUUUGUUUAAAUAUUUUAGUAACAUUAUUAAUUUAAAUUUAUUAUUAACUAAUUUUUUAUUUGAUUAAUAGUAUAAAUAUUGUAAUUUUCGCUUGUUUUAAACACUAAAAUAUAACACAAUUUUAAAUUUAAAUAUAUAAUUUUAUUAUUAUAAAAGUAAUGUUUUUAUUAUUAUAAAAGUAACGUCUAUAUCUUUCCAUUAAACUUAAAAUAAUAUAUGGUCGUUUUUAUUAUCUUUAACCUAAUUUAAUGUUAAAAUUAUAUAUACAUUACAAUCUAAUCCAAUGUUGUAUUAUGCCGAACAUGAAAGGUCAUGAAAUAUAAUCUUAUCUUUAUCAAAUCUUAUUUUAAGUCAUAUAGCUCAAGUCAUAUUCAAUUAUAUCUCAUCUAAUCCUAUCCUAUCCAGCGCACCAAACAAGCAUAUAUAUGUGAUUAAGAACUAAAAAGACUAUAGCUAGAAGCAUUUCUGUUAGAGUUUCUCCUAAAACAUAGAUAUCCAGAGACAAGCUUUUAGAAUGUUAGAAAUAUAAUCACUCAGGGAUGUAAGUCGAGAUAGUUUACGGUACAUUAAGUCUGUAAUACUAACGCUAGCUAGAUUCGAGCCCCUCUCAAAUCCAAAAGCCAUAUAGCUUUCCGAACACAUUUACUGAAUGACCAACAUCAAUUUCUUCUGCAAGUGAUAAAGGACAAAUACAACAAUAUAUGAUAACUAAAAGAACAAAUUCCCUUUCAAGAAGUUCCCAGAUCGCAACUUCAAUGGACCAUUCCAUAAAAGAUUCAUUAUAGGAAACUGCUAUUGCGUUUUUAUGGAAUUAAAAUGAGGAGAAUAUUCAAAGGAACCCUUAAUUCUUUAAUUUCGGAGGAAUUUGGGGAUUAAAUUGCAUGUGUUAUAUAUGCUUCCGUUUUCGUUUCUAUUUCAACUAAAUUGCACAAGUCAAGUCACAUAGCAGCAGAUUUACGUGCAUCCAGUUUUGGAGUGGCAGAGAUAGACCAAUUGUACCGAGGCUAUUAUAUUUAAUGUACUAAUUAAUGUUAUGGAUAAUUAGUGAGCAGCCUAACAAAUAACUUGUAUCACAAUUUACAGCUUCAACUGACAAAAUAAUAAAAUUAAUGACUCUAUGUAUAGCUAAAAACUCUAAUUCAUAAUAAUAAUAAGGGAGUUCAAAUAAAACAGCGGCUAAUAAAAUAGUCGGUCACUACAAGUAAUAUGAAGAAACACCAAGCUUUAGAGUUUGUCAUUUAUUAAUGAUUUCUUCGUCAAAUUAAUCCAGUGAGCUUGUUCAGAGACCCAACUUGUUCAAUAGACGAGGAAAAUUGCUUGAAUUCGAAGAAUUUUGACAGAGAUAAGAAACCUACAAGGAGGGAGGAUUAAUAAUUAGAAAAAGAAUAGUGCAAACUUUUAUGUGUGUGUGUGUCUAUAUAUAUGUAUGUAUGUAUGUAUGUGUGUGUGUGUGUGUGUGUGUGUGUGUGUAUAAACAUGUAUACAUACGGGAGAUUUUGAAACAACCUUACAAUCGAGUGAACAGAAAUAAUUAUUCCCUUGCAGCCUAGCUGGACACCCACUGCAUUUGUUGGUGGUGGAUUCUCUAAAAUAUGUUCCUGGCCUUUGGUUUAUAUGUAGCACUUUUUCACCAUUAUGUUGAUAUGUCUGAAGAGAAAAUAUAUGGAGCACGUUUGUAAGAAAGUGGUCAGAUAUAAAUGUAGUUUCACAAGUCAUAUGCUCAUGCCCGGAUACCGAAUUUGAACCCAGAACAAAAUUGAGUGGCACAGCUCAAUUCGGAUUAAAAUUCGGAUGUUCGUGCGUGAGCAUUAUUAUGCAGUUCAGAGUAGUACUUCGUUGGCAAAUAGCAGAAUUUUUAAGAAAAUAUUCAAUGAAGAAGAAAUAGAAAAGAUUUGAAUUCAAGCUUUGACUUAUUACUUGGAUAUGUCCACAGUCAAUGAACUCGUGAGCCUCAACGAACCNNNNNNNNNNNNNNNNNNNNNNNNNNNNNNNNNNNNNNNNNNNNNNNNNNNNNNNNNNNNNNNNNNNNNNNNNNNNNNNNNNNNNNNNNNNNNNNNNNNNAGCAUUUUUCGCAUAUACUGGUGCAACAAUUCAAACAAUAUAUGUUCCUUUGUCUAACUGCCGUUCCGUGAUUGCAAUUUUGAAAGCUUCUCUCUUGGAAAAAAGUCAAAAGACCUUGGAGCCACUGUGGUUGAUUCCCGGCCUGAAAACACGAUUGAAUACAAUUGAUGUUAUUAACUAAUUAAAAAAAGUAACAACGAUUUCGAGUCCUAAUGAACCAACGAAGUUGGAUUCAAUAUGCUAAUCACCCUUCAUACGAGAUUAUUAAAAGAUCAACGCAACUAUAUGAUAAAAGCUAAAUCUUAAUUCUAAAUCAAAAGGUGAAAAUUAAAGAAAAGACCGACCAUAAUUGUCUAUUGAUGCUGGAGAGUGUAUAUUUUUCUUUGAGAGAGAGGGGAGUGUUGGUAAAGAGAAUUACACAAGAGUCAAAGAGAAUUGAGCUUUUUAUAUAUGUGUGUAUCGUAUUUGUGUCGUAUUGCUUUCCGAAAAAUUCUAGCACUGUUUAGUUAAUUAAUGUAAUAGGUUUCGUCAACAUAAAAAAAAAAAAAAUUAGCACGCGGGGAGAUUAAUUUCUAUUUUAGCAACGAUAAUAGGAAACGUUUGUGUCUUAUUUGGGUUGUGUUUGUGUUUUAAUUAACGCAAAAACUAUUUUGUUGCCUACUCUAGAGUUAGAUCAGGAAACUUAACAAAGAAUAAAAGUGGAAAAAAAAAAUUGUAAUGAGUUAAUGGGAAACAGAAGGUACAUGCGCAAGCUGAUUCGGAUUAAUUUUAAUGGGAAACAAAAGAUACAUCCACAAGUUGAUUUGGAUUAAUUAAUUUUCAACAUCUGUAAUCAAUUAUAGGGUGAGGUCGCUUGAACCUACUAAAUCUCUCUUUAUACCUGAACAAAAAUUAUAUUUAUUUUUAAAUUUUUAAAUUUCAAAAUGUUAGAAUUACUCUUCAUUUUUUUUAACAGGUGUCUGCCAUAACAUCCUGUAAACUAAAUUCUCACGUAUACUCUAACAUGGAUAUUGAUUCUUAAUCUUUCUUAUUAGAUCAUGAUUGCAUUAUUAAUAAACCAUUACUGCAUUUCUUGUAUUAUUGAAGUAAAAAUACCAUGGAGCUCAACCAUAUGCAUAUCUCCGCUGGGCAAUCAAAGUCUUUUAGGCAGGGCUUACAAUUCAUGUCACUAUAAUCCAUGUUCUUCAAUAUGGACGAAGGAUGCCGAGGUCAUUGGAAUCACGAUUUUCAUUUUCAAAGAUUUUAGGAAAAAAAAUUAAUGACUUUGAUGUCUUGUAAAUUUCGUUUGAAGUUUAUAUUUGGAUAGUAAGUUUUGUUUUGUUUUUAAUUGUUGAUGGCAUGUAGAAAAUCUGAAUUUAUCAAUUUUUGACAGACAAACAAUACCAUUCACUUACAAUUGAACAUUGAGAGAAGAAAAAAUGCGAAGCCCUGGGUGCGAAACUGAGGCAUAAAGCGAAAGAGAAAACAUGGUACAAUAGGUAAUUCCAUCAAAAAAACUUUAAUAAUAAGAAAUUUAAAUAAAAAAUAGGUGUAUAAAUAAAAUUGGUGGGUUUUAGUACUCUCACCCUUAUCACGUGUCUUUUGAAGCGCAAGUGGAAUUCAUGCUUUUUUUUUUAACCUUUCCAUUCGCUCAGAUCCCUUCCAUUUCCUUAAUUUGGUCUAGAUCUUCCUUUUCUUCUGAGAAAAGGGAAGAAGAAGGAUCUUCUUUGGCAGACACCUCUUGCUCCUCUUUAAUUUUCCCUUUCAAAGGCUUUUCUAUUUCUACAACUUUUUCAUUCAUUUAUGAGGUUUCUUUCACUUUCAAUUUCUUAGUAGAAAUGGAUGAGGGUAUUCUGCCUAAAUAGUAUAUAUAAACAAGAGAAUACAUCUCUAAAGUUUGGGAAAAUUGUCAUGCAGACCUUAAGGUUAGGCUGGGCAAAUAAACCGACCCGACCCGAUUCGAUCCCAUCCGAUCCAAAUAUUUCAGGUUCGGAUUGAGAGUAAUAUGAUCAUUUUAGGGAAUGUAAUUUCAUUCCCACCUUCCCCUAUGUGAAUGACAAAUCUAGUAAUUAUUUUCAAUUUUAGGUGGGGCCCACCUCUCAUUUAAGCAAGUAAACACAUCAUUCAUUCUCAUUCUUUGAUUCCCAUUCAUAUUCCCAAUAAGUAAACACACCAUAAGUUUUUUUUUACUCUCUCUUAUGACGGGAUAUCAGAAAGAAUAGAACGAUAUGCGUGACCUGGAGAUCAUAACUACUUAUAUAGAUAACUUUUCCUAUUAUUUUUUGUUAUUCCUAUUUCAGCCAUCAUAAAAAUAGAAAUUUUCCUUAAAAAUGAAUUCAAGAUUUGACUUGGAUAGGUUUGCAUUCAACUUUGCAACAUCCUUAUUUUCUUUUGUAAAUAUCUAAAAUAUUAAAAUAAUAUCAUAGGGAUAAGAGGAAAGAGAGCGAGAGAGAGAGAGAGAGAGAUGUAGAUGGUUUUAGAAAUUGAAUGAUGUAAUUUAAAUUAGUUUUUAUUUAUGAAAACCUGCAAGUAGUGACGGACCCAGAAACUAAAAUUAAGGGGGGCUUAGUUCAAAAAAUUUUAUUUAACUUGGGGUUUUUUUUUAAUGUUCACUUGAAUACGUUUUAAGUCUUAUAAACUCAAAUUUUAUUACUUUAUUUUAAAUUCUAAAUAAUAAUGGUAAUAAAUUAUUUAUUUUAAUUGCGUGAAAAUAUCAUUUUUCGAAGUAGUUUCCACAAAAUAUUUAAAAAUGAAAGAAUAAUGUGGCUAUUGGGAUUUGAACCAAAACUUUAAAACCAUCAAAUAACACUCUUACUAUUGAACUACAAGUCUUUUAAUAUAUGAAAAAUGUAUCUAAUUUUUUUUUAUGUAACAUUUUCAAAAUGAGCUUGAGAUACAUUUAAAAAAAAAUUAAUGAUCCAGAAGGGGCUGAAGCCCCUCUUGGGUCUUAAUUGGGUCCGCCCAUGCCUACAAGUGUCGAUGUUUAUGAAAUUUGUCAAGGGGCAAGCAAUAUUUUUUGCAUACAUUGUUGCAACAGUGCAAACAAUAUAUGUUUGUUUGGAGACUUUCAUGUCUUCGGCAAAAGUUGUAGAAUUUUUCUUGUAGAAGAAAUUGGAGCCAAUCUGCCAUUGAUAGAUUCGCUACCUGAAAACAUGUUUAAAAAAUACAAUUGUAUUAAUUAAUAAAAAUAACCAAAAAAGCCGGAGUUCUUAUAGUAUGACAAAAAGAUCACUAAAUUCUGUUUAUUUUUAAAAAGGUUAUACGGAUCCUUUCAUAAAUACAUAGGUUAUUUUUUCUAUUAAAAAAUGAUCGCAUACACUCAAAUAUUUUGUUCAAAAGUAGGGGUGACAAAAAAGCCCGGGCCGGCCAGCCCAGGCCCGCGGGCUUAGGCCCGGCCCUCACACAUGAGGGCCUGGACAAGGGCCCAAGAAAAAAAGCCCGGAAAAAGCCCAGGCCCACUACGUUUUUUAAAAAAUAAUUUUAUAAAUUAGAAUAA
rnacentral:lncRNA from 1 species